GAACGGAGAGGAAAGGAGGCCCGAACCCAACCCGAGCCCGAACGAAUCAAUCCAUAGAAACAUUUCUUUGGCAUUACCCCCACAGCCACAGUCAGACAGUCGGUCUCUCCCUCUCGCCGUCUUCCUUCUUCCACCCGUAACUCGUUUUUGGAUUCGCUCGCUGUUGUUUCUAAUCUCUGCCGGCCGGCCGUGAUUUCCCUCUCCAAGUUCCAAUGGACCCUAUCAAGAAGCGCAAGCUCGACGAAAAUGGCGCCGUCCCCGGGGACCCAGGCCCCUUCAACACCCUCGUGCUCACCGCCGAAGAUGCCCGCAAGAUCCUCGAGCCCUUCACUCACGACCAGCUUCUGGAAAUCGUACAGAACGCCAUCAUCCACCACCCCGACGUCCUCGCCACCGUCCGAUCGCUUGCCGAUCGCGACGUGACCCAGAGGAAGCUAUUUGUCCGCGGCCUCGGCUGGGAAACAACCACGGAGAAGCUCCGAGCCGUCUUCUCGUCCUACGGCGAGUUGGACGAGGCCAUCGUCAUACUCGACAAGGUCACGGGGAAGUCCAAAGGCUACGGAUUCGUCACUUUCAAGCACGUCGACGGUGCCAUCGUUGCCCUCAAGGAGCCCAGCAAGAAAAUUGACGGCCGGAUGACGGUUACGCAGCUCGCCGCCGCCGGUAUCUCCGGUGGAGGCGGCGGCGGCGGCGGUUCUGGCGGCGGAGGAAUUAGUAAUCCCGUGGAUGCGUCGACGAGGAAGAUUUAUGUGGCCAAUGUUCCGUACGACAUGACGGCGGAGAGGCUGCUCCAUCACUUUGGUAUGUACGGUGAGAUAGAAGAAGGGCCCUUAGGGUUUGAUAAGGCCACUGGGAAAUCAAAGGGUUUUGCUUUGUUUGUUUACAAGACUCCUGAGGCUGCCCGGUCCAGUUUAGUGGACCCAAUCAAGAAUAUCGAUGGGCACCAAUUGAACUGUAAGCUGGCUAUUGAUGGGAAGAGAGGGAGGCCUCCGGUGGGGAUGCAGGGAGGCGCCCAGGCUAAUGGGGGGGAUGGCAUGCUGGGUGGGCAUUACGGUGCUGGAGGUGGUCCAGGGCCGAAUAUGGCUGUUGGUGGUGGGUUUGGCUCUGGGAUUGGUGGUCCUUAUGGUGGUGGUUCUAGUUUUGCCGGGCCGCCUGUAGGGCAGGCUUAUGGUGGACUAGGUACUGGCGCAGGUGGAGGUGGAAGUGGAAGUGGAAGUGGAAGUGGAUUGUAUGGUGGUCUAGGUAGUGGUGUAGGCGGAGGUGGCAGUGGAUUGGGUGCCGGUGCUGGAGUUGGAAUUGGAUUGAGUGCUGGGGGUGGGAAAGGUGGGGUGGCUGGUGGUGGAAUGAGUGGUGCAGGGCGUGGGUAUGGUUUGCCGCCUAGCUCCGCCGGGAUGGGUUCUGGAGGUUAUUCACAGGGCGCACGCUAUAGUUUAUCAUCUGGCGGCUAUCAAGGCCAGCACAAUCAACCGGCAGGAGGAUUACCAACACGUAGAGUUCCUCCAGGUGGAGCCGCCUACCAGGGGAUGCCUCCUUAUUACUGAGAAACCACCGCGAUGAAUUUCUCGAGGAAUUCCGCUGGAUUCUGCAGAAUCAAUGGUGCUUCCUGCAGCAGGAUGCUGGGAGUUACAUCCAGGUUUGAAUUGAUUGGCGUAAUUCAUUAGUUGAAUGAUUGGAGUGGAGGAGGAGGAGGAUCGGUUGCAUCGCUGCAUACGUUCGUUGGUGAUGAGGAUAAUCUUUGCUUUAGGUUUUAGGAGGUUGGAGGAGCGGACGCCAUCCGAGAAAUUCGGAAACCUUUGUUCCGAGCCGGCGCCCGCUACGGAGUUAGAUAUUCCGCCAGAUAGCGGAUGGAUCGGCUCUCGUCUGUCUCUUCUUAUGGAGCUCAAUCCGUUUGUCUCUAGUUUCGCGGUCUUCUGUAUCGAUCGCACACUCGGCGCUAAUGCUGAUUUGGGCGCCAUGUUGAUACCUACGCUAAGUUGCUGAUAUGCAAAGGAGAAACCACUAAGACUGUCUUUGAAGAGUUCAGAGGGUGUGAAGGAUUGGCCAUUUGAUGCCAUACAUCACUUGUAUCAAUUUACAGAAAAUGAUAGCGGUAAACAAACAGUCAGUUUGUUGUUGAAUUGGUAUUUGGUUGAUAAGUAGGACCCUUGAAGACUGCAGUGGCUUUGGUAUCUCAGUGGCACCUAGGAUCGGAAACUUGCACACAGUUUGAUGUUUAACUAAUGGUGAAGUAAUGGCCGAGGGUGUGUAGUUGAAGCUGUUUAACCAUCCUUUGGCAUGCUUGAGCUUGAAGGUUCGAUCUGGAUGCUUGUGUGAAAAAAUAAUAACAGUAAAAAACUAAUUGUGAAGUAAUGGAGUGUGAACAUUUAUUUCAGUGGCACCUUGGCUCAAGCCCAAUGAUGAAGAUCACUGGGUUGGGGCCACUUCACAUAUUGAGAUACAUAUGUGGGUGGGUGCCUACAAGAUAUCCUGUCGGCUGUCUUGAAUAGGAUUGUCCACACUUUUUUGGUCUGGAGUUUUUGAGGUAAAGUGCAAGUAUUGGCCUGACUAAUCCAAAGGAAGCAACACUAUAUGGCAUGCAUAAGGCCCGUAAUGCCUAACAUAUAAUGGAAGGUGGAAAGAAUAGACUUCCUUCAAGGCUUCAAGUCCUCAAAAGUGAAUCUUCUUGCUUGGAUCAGACUUAACUUUUCAGUAUUUCAACAGGUACGUGGAUCCUGUGACUCUAGUUUGUUAUUCUUUCUGGGAUUUUUUUACAUGCAAUGGCCUCUUUAGGAUGAGCACUCUCAGGGAUUCCUUUACUGUCAUUGCCAAUCUAACCGAGUAAAAUGUCGUCUCUACCUGGAUGAAUGCAUGCAGAAGUGUACAAUUUUUGCAUGCCAUCUACUACUAUUGUUGAGUCUGGGAUGCAUGCAUACAAGUAUGAACCAAUGUGGGUUAAAGGGUUAGCAGCCGUGUAAAUUCAACUGGGCCACGCAACUGCUGCUCUGAUAUACAACAAGAGGCGAUAAUCAUUAUCAUAGAACAGAACGUAACUGUUGGUGUGGCCACACUUGAUGAGUGUCAAAACACUUAAGACAACAAUCCCGUUUUACUUGCAGCAGAUUAUGCAUGGUACCUACAUACAUACCUGCAAUGGGUGGCCACUUAUGUUCGCAGGCAUGGUAUUAUGUACACUGCAAUCUGAUAAAUAAUACUACCAACUUUUAACUUUUAUAGUUGGGUGAUGAUGGGCAAUCAUUCGGAUGGAAGAAGGGAUGCUUCGAAACACUAGUGCGUGCAAGGUUAGAGAAGUCUUUCUUGACUUUAAAUCCGCUGUGCGGGAAUUCUCCCCCCAGCAAGAAUUUGUUUGUUUCUGCUUCUCACUCUCCCUCUCUCUCUCUCGUUAUUUAGCAAAAGCUAAUGCAUGGCUGGCUGGAGGGGCACAGACGGUGCUACCCUCUCACUCACCAUUUUUCCUAUUUAUUGUUGUGCAUUUUGUUUAAUUGUGUGGGGGGAUAAAGAGACAUGUCAAUGACAACCAAGUUUUCCAGUUCAAAAAUAUUUCAGAUAACAACAUUCCAUCGUCAAUAUGCAAUGCACUCCAGGAAGCCAACAACAUUCCUUCCCUAAACAACUAGCCCAAAUUUAAAAUUAAAAUAAUAAUAAUAAUAAGAGAUUUAAAAAAGAAACAAAAACAAAAAAGGGUGUAAAACCAGUAAAAGAGGUUUUACCGAACUGCAUUUACCUUUGCAAGUCUGCUGCCGUGGUGUCCUCUCCAACUCUACCACAAAAACUUUUCAACUGCAAGGAAAAUCUGUGAGAAGGUACUACUAGUAGGCAGGCAGAGACUUAUAAGAGCUGCUGUAUCCUAACUAUC